GUAGGGUGCAAGCGUUAAUCGGGAAUUACUGGGGCGUAAAGCGUGCGCAGGCGGUUAUGCAAGACAGAGGUGAAAUCCCCGGGGCUCAACCUGGGAACUGCCUUUGUGACUGCAUGGCUAGAGUACGGUAGAGGGGGAUGGAAUUCCGCGUGUAGCAGUGAAAUGCGUAGAUAUGCGGAGGAACACCGAUGGCGAAGGCAAUCCCCUGGACCUGUACUGACGCUCAUGCACGAAAGCGUGGGGAGCAAACAGGAUUAGAUACCCUGGUAGUCCACGCCCUAAACGAUGUCAACUGGUUGUUGGGAGGGUUUCUUCUCAGUAACGUAGCUAGCGCGUGAAGUUGACCGCCUGGGGAGUACGGCCGCAAGGUUG
rnacentral:rRNA from 1 species